rnacentral:rRNA from 1 species
GCUCAGGACGAACGCUGGCGGCGUGCCUAACACAUGCAAGUCGAGCGAUGAAGUUUCCUUCGGGAAACGGAUUAGCGGCGGACGGGUGAGUAACACGUGAGCAACCUGCCUCAAAGAGGGGGAUAGCCUCCCGAAGGGGAGAUUAAUACCGCAUAAUAUCAGAGUUUCGCAUGAUUUUCUGAUUAAAGGAGUAAUCCACUUUGAGAUGGGCUCGCGGCGCAUUAGCUAGUUGGUGAGGUAACGGCUCACCAAGGCGACGAUGCGUAGCCGACCUGAGAGGGUGAUCGGCCACAUUGGGACUGAGACACGGCCCAGACUCCUACGGGAGGCAGCAGUGGGGAAUAUUGCGCAAUGGACGAAAGUCUGACGCAGCAACGCCGCGUGGGUGAUGAAGGUCUUCGGAUUGUAAAGCCCUGUCUUCGAGGACGAUAAUGGUCGGUACUCGAGGAGGAAGC